GAUGAACGCUAGCUACAGGCUUAACACAUGCAAGUCGAGGGGCAGCAUUCUUGUAGCAAUACAAGAGAUGGCGACCGGUGCACGGGUGAGUAACACGUAUCCAACCUGCCUUCAACUCGGGGAUAGCCUUUCGAAAGAAAGAUUAAUACCCGAUGGCAUAGCAAUUCCGCAUGGUGUUGCUAUUAAAGAAUUUCGGUUGAGGAUGGGGCUGCGUUCCAUUAGAUUGUUGGCGGGGUAACGGCCCACCAAGUCGACGAUGGAUAGGGGUUCUGAGAGGAAGGUCCCCCACAUUGGAACUGAGACACGGUCCAAACUCAUACGGGAGGAAGCAGUGAGGAAUAUUGGUCAAUGGGCGAGAGCCUGAACCAGCCAAGUAGCGUGAAGGAUGACCGCCCUAUGGGUUGUAAAUUUCUUUUGUGUGGGAAUAAAGUGAGCCACGUGUGGCUUUUUGUAUGUACCAUACGAAUAAGGAUCGGCUAACUCCGUGCCAGCAGCCGCGGUAA
rnacentral:rRNA from 1 species